UAAGGUAUGCAAGUCGAACGAUCCCUUUGAAUUACUUGAAACUUCGGUUGAUUGUAUUUCUUUUUGGGAUAGUGGCAAACGGGUGAGUAACACGUGGAUAACCUGCCUUAAAGUCAUGAACAGCUCAUCGAAAGAUGGGAUAAUACAUGAUGGUCUUACAAUUUCUAUCCGACUUUGUAAGUAAAGCUCAGGCGCUUUAAGAGGGGUCCGCGUCCUAUCAGCUUGUUGGUGAGGUAAUAGCUCACCAAGGCUAAGACGGGUAGCUGGCGUGAGAGCGCGGUCAGCCACCAUGGAACUGAGACACGGUCCAUACUCCUACGGGAGGCAGCAAUUAGGAAUCUUGCGCAAUGGGGGCAACCCUGACGCAGCGACACAGCGUGGAGGACGACGGUCUUCGGAUUGUAAACUCCUUUUAUAUGGGAAGAAUAGAUGACGGUACCAUAUGAAUAAGCACCUGCUAACUACGUGCCAGAAGCAUCGGUGAUACGUAGGGUGCGAACGUUAUCCGGAUUUAUUGGGCGUAUAGAGAUGCGUAGGCGUUUCUGUAAGUCUGAAGUUAAAGCCCACGGCUUAACCGUGGAAAAGCUUUGGAAACUGCAGAAAUUGAGACAGGAAGAGGCGAAUGGAAUUCCCAGUGGAGCGGUGAAAUGCGUUGAUAUUGGGAGGAACAUCAGUGGCGAAGGCGAUUCGCUGGUCCUUGUCUGACGCUGAGGCUCGAAAGCGUGGGUAGCAAAACGGAUUAGAUACCCGUGUAGUCCACGCCGUAAACUAUGGAUGCUAGGUGUUCGGUACAACCGUUUUUUCCUUCGGGAAAAAAUGGAAGUAUUGAGUGCCGCAGCUAACGCGUUAAGCAUCCCGCCUGGGAAGUACGGCCGCAAGGCUAAA
rnacentral:rRNA from 1 species